GCUGUAUUAAGCUAUAUACUACUUCCUCCGUCCCAUAAUGUAAGAUGUUUUUUGAUACUAGUGUGGUGUCCAAAAAACGUCUUACAUUAUAGGACGGAGGGAUUAGAUUCUGCACUGCAUUUCUGAAACUUCUAAUUCCAAGACCAAUACAAACAUGCUGAUGGAGCCAAUGAACCAACUGAGACGAGAGCAUAAACAUUCUGCACUGCAUUUCUGAAAGUACUUAUUACAAUGAACUGGAGGCUAUUGUAAUUGCGCUCAUUAAUCCGAUACAAUCACCUACGUAUUUGUCUACUUUGGUACUGCUGGUUGUUUUAAACACAUACCAAGUGUCUUCAGCCAGCACUGGGGGUCUAAGAUAUACUCCCUCCGUCCGAAAAUACUUGUUAUCAAAAUGGAUAAAAGAAAAUGUAUCUAAAAACAAGUAUUUCUGAACAGAGGGAGUAGCUGAAACUCAUGUAUGCAUUGUUCAUAUUUCAGUUGAGUGGUAUUCUCAUCUCAUCGUCAGGUGUCGCAAAGAGUAACUGAACUGAAGCGUAGAAGAAAGAACUGGGUGCUUGAUUCAACACGGUACACGAGCGGAUAUGUGAUGCUUUGAAAGAAUUAGUACUGGAUUUCACAGGGGGUUUGAAGAAGGCUUUCGCCCCAGCUUACAGCGAGGAUGGAUCGGGUGCAGGGAAUUGAUAAGUAGGAUGCCCAGACUCAGCUCCGGAUACGAAUUGAAGCUGCUGCUCUUCAUCCGCCGGACCCCAUGUGCGCAUUCGUCCUGGCCUUUGUGGUAAGCUCUGGCGCCGCGCCGCCGCCGCCGGAGACACCUGCCGAUGGUUCUGACAGGACCCGAUCGUGGUAGAAGUAAGAAUUGGUGAUCUCGCUCUUGAUUUUUGAUUUAGAGACGGCCCAGGGAUGGACCGGGGAAGAGGAUGAUAACUCUUAGAAAUAUAAUUGGG
rnacentral:rRNA from 1 species